UGCGGAGAGAUGGCACGGCGCUUUGGAGAGCGCAACAGCGCGCUGAUAGAAUCACUGGCUUCACUUGACCCAGAGAGUGACACUUUUUUGGACGCAGAAAAAGUGAGGCCCCUCUUAGAUUUGACCGGCACAAAACUUAUCGAUGCGGAGUUUGUGGUAGCUCGACAGUUCCUUCGCACCCAAAUGGAAGGCUCCACGCGCGCAGAGGAUGAAAACUGGACUGUGAAAACACUGUUCACCACUUUCCACAAGACCCUGGAAGCAAUGCCCAGUGUCAUGGUGGCAUUUAAGUCUGCUUUAACAUUCGGAGCCUCCACUGCCACAUGCGAAAACUCAUUUUCCUCUUUGAAGAACAUCUUCAGUGAUCACAGGCGGAGUAUGCUGCAUCCACGGAAGGCCCACCUCAUCCAGCUCAGUUUUGAGAAGGACUUGACUCGAAAAUGCAUGGAGCAGUGGAAGGACCGUUUGCUAAGGAGGUUCCAUUCCACAGGGAAAAGGCGUCUCCAGCUUUACUAGCAUCAAUCGGACCACUUUCAGAACUGAACAGGGUUUCCCGUGCAUCCUUUUCCCUCUCCACACAAAGUUCAACGUUCUCUCUCCCAUUGCACACACGCAUGCCCCGGCCGCUCCCGAGAGCACAGAGAGUGAACCGAUAAAAAAAUAAAAAUAAACACAACUUGUUAUGGUAA